UUCAACAAUAGUUCCUUUAAUUUUAAUUCAACGUUACUGGAGGGAAAAGAUUAUGACCUUGUAGGUAGAAUGGUGUCUAAAGCUAUACUAUCUGGACAUCCAGGACCAGGUUGUCUUAAUAGUAUUGUUACAGAUUAUAUAUUGUAUGGAAAUAUUCCACAAUUUAGUGAUGUAGAAACAGACAUGGUAAAAAGAGCUGAUGCAGUAGCAGCAAUUAAGUCCUGUGUGUCAACAAUGGAAUCAACUUUAAUGAUGAUCAGUCACUGGAAGUUUUAGAGAUGUUCUUCUCUGGUUUUCCUCAAAUGAUUGGUUUAAAUCAUUUUCCAAACUUACAAAGUCUAACAAUUAUAGGGCAGUCCAUACAGCGAAUUGAAGGCUUGACUAUUCUCCAAAAUUUGCAACAGCUGUGGUUGUGUGAGUGUGAAAUCACGAAACAAUAAUACCAGAAUACCAGAAGCACCACCCAAGGAAGACCAUCAGCACCACCAACACCAAUAAACAGUGAAAUCGCCUUUGUAUAUAAAUCUAAAGUAUUAUUGUUUCAAGACAAACCUCUUCAAGCAAAAGGGCCAGAGUAGAUGUAGAGCCCUCAAGAGUUAUAGAAGAAAGAUCAUCUCCAUCAUAGUUACCAUCCAUUGAACACAAUUACCAUCAUGAUUUAAAUACCAUGAAAGAAAAAUGAGAAGAUGCCACCAAUAGACUGGAAAACACGCACAGUCCACCAACUUGCCUUAAAGUUACAAUUUCAUAUUUUUAAGUUAUAUUUUUAAAAUGUAUUAAAAUAAAGCCCUAAAAUAGAUGGUAUCUAUAAACAGUCCUACCUUGUUAAAGAAUAAUCCUAUAAUUCACUAUUGCCAGUUGAGAAAUUGGUAAAAAUAUCAUUUUCAACUUCAAAUUCAAACGUUUGAAGAUAGCUAUUCCAUGCUGGGGAAUAGGAAAACAAGGGAAGUAAUUGGGAGAUAAUUGUGUUAUUAUUUCCGGUGUGAAGAUUUUUAGGUGUGAGAAAGAUAACCUAUGAUCGUAUAAUAGUGAGUUGACAACCUAUUGAGCAAAAGACAUAGAAAUAAUUAUGUUUUGAAUUUCUUAGAAAAUAUGAAAUUGUAACUUUAACCAAACGCAGAGAAAAACGUGCAAAAAUGGUAAUUGAUGAAAAGAAAUUAUCAGAAAAGGCUCAACAAAUGAUUGAUUCAUAUAAAGAUAUUCCUGUUGACCUGUUCACUAAACCUGCUUCUGAAUACUCUGAAGACCAAAAGAAGUUUUCAACCACUCUGUAUUUUUAUGGACCGAAAGCCUACAACUAUUUAAGAAGCAAGGUCAACUUACCACACCAAUCCACGAUUAGAAGUUUAUUCCAGACUACACCAAACUAAAGUUUAUUUAUUAUUCCAUUUGUUUGAAUGAUACUGUUGUGGCUGAGUAACAUAAACCAGGUCUCUCUAGUCAAGUUAUAAACAUGCUUCAGCAAAAAGUUCAAAGUGAUGAAUGGACCUACAAACACCGCAGUCUGAUGAUUGAUGGCAUGUCCAUAAAAAAACACAUUGAUUGGGAUGCAAAUAACGGUCAAAUGGUUGGUUUUGUUAAUUUAGGUUCUGGACCAGUUGAAAAUGAUGCAGUUGAGGCACGUGAAGUCAUAGUGAUACUAGCUGUUGGUUUACAAGGUCACUGGAAAGUACCACUAGGUUAUUUCCUUGUUGAUGGAAUAUCAGCAGAGAUACACAGCCAGCUUCUUUUGACAGCAAUAUCAUCACUUUACCAAAUUUGUAUUAGAGUAACAUCUAUUGUGAUGGAUGGGCAUCCAACCAACCAAAGAAUGGCAAACAUUUUCGGAGGCAAUUUAAACCCUGACAACAUCAGAAGUACUUUCCAACAUCCAUCUAAUCCAGAAUUAAACAUAUAUAUAUUCUUUGAUGCUUGUCAUCUUCUCAAAAACUUCCGUGGAGCUCUCCAUUCUCUUCAACAACUGCAGGAAGAAACUUUUGGUACAGCAAAGUGGUCAGACAUAAAAAGACUUGAAGAAUUACAACGAAAUGAAGGCUUAAGAGCAGCUAUAGGCUAACAAAGAAGCACAUAGAAUUUACCAAUCAAAAAAUGAAUGUUAAAUUAGCAGUACAAGUUUUAAGUAGUUCGGUUGCUAAAUCCCUAGAAUUUGCUUCUUCAGUCUGUGAAGAUUUAGGAAAUUGUCAAGGAACAAUCAAUCUUGUUGCCAUGGUGGAUCGAAUGUUCGAUAUUUUCAACAGUAGAACGCCAGCUGCAAAAGGUUUUAAGCAUCCCAUUAAUGCAAAUUUUUUUUAGUCUUUUGAAUCCUUUUUGUUAUCCACCAGUUCUGUACUAUUAAACUUAAAAGACAUGACUGGUCAGAAAGUCUGCCAUGGAAAAAGAAAGAUAUGUAUCAUUGGUUUCUUGUGUAACAUUCAAAGCCGUCUUGGUCUUGCAAGAGAGAUGAUUUUAUCAAAUCCACCAGCACUGAAAUACUUGUUGACUUAAAAAUUGUCACAAGAUCACCUUGAGCUCCUUUUUUUCUGCCAUUAGGAGAUAUGGGGGAUAGAACAACAAUCCAUCUGCAGUACAAUUUUCGAAUGCAUAUAGAUCUCUACUAGGUCAUGUUGGUGUAAGCGGAACAAUCGAUUGCAACACCUCAUGUGUACCACAAGACAUAACCUCUAUCUUGGAAGUCAACAACACAGAAAUAAUUACCUUUGAAAAUGCUCUUGCAGACCAGGAUUAUCCCAUCAAUGGCAGAGGUAUCAGUUCAUUUGUAGAGGGUUUCCUUGAAAAUAUAGCUGGCUGGGUUGUUAGAACAUUGAUGUCUAAAGUUCAGUGUGUGCCCUGUGCCCAUGCCUUAGUAAAACCUAAAACUGAUACCAAAUAUGGGCUUCUAAAUAUAACAAACAAUGGAGGACUAUGCAUUCCAUCAAAUGAUGUUAUCCAGAUUGUUCGACAAUGUGAAGUUAUACUCAGUUCUUUUGUCAAUAUCAAAUAUGUUAAACCAAAUGAAUAGGAAAAUGUUGUUGUAUCUAAAGUUAUGAUGAAUUUACCUUCUACUUUAUUCUCUCAUCCGAAUGAUCAUUUCACAGAAACAUGUAAAGGAAUAGACACGCAUUAUUAUAAUUUGUUGAAAUUAGUUUGUAGUCAGUUCAUAAAGUUAAGAAGAUUUCAUGUGGUGAGAUUAACUAAUUUAGCACUACAGGGACAAUGUGUAAGACAAAAGUUAACAAGAACUGUACUUUUCCAACAUCAGUAGAAUUAUUAACUAUCUUAAUCUCUAUGUUUGACAAAAUAUAAAUGCUUGAAAUACUGUGUCGUAUUUAGCAUUGCUAUAUUAGUUAUAAUGACAGAUUCGUGUAAUCUGUAUAGGGGGUUGAGUCAACUGCCGUGGUUUCGAUUCCCCAUUCGUACGUGACAAGGAGUAGGGUCGCCUGUCCAACUUUGUGAGUUUUCUCUGGGUCCUCCGGUUUGCUCCCACUGCUAAAGACCCCUGUGAGCGCAAGUGAACUGUUCACAUAAAUUGAAAUGAAAUGAAAUGGAGUUUAAUGUCCUACUGUUCUGCUCCGAACUGGUCUAAUGAAGACGGACAUACGCCAUACAGUGUGCUAUGAGGGAAAUUUUGCCCGGACAGCGGCACUACGGCCCACUCUUACAUCGAAUUCCAACUGUCAAGGGAAGAUGUACACGGGACCUUGGUUUUUCGUCCAAUCCGAACGACUAGACAGCUGUACUUGUCAGGCCAUCCGUCCUGCAUCACUGACAAGAGGGGGACCACUCUGGAAAAUCUGGAUGAACUUUCUCUGCCAAUGCAGGGAUCGAAAACCUGACCUCCAGGCUAGCGAGCCAGCGUCUUACCAAAUAAAUUGAACCAUGUGUUAGUCCCAAAAUGACCUAGUGUGUGUCGAGUAGACAUUAAACCCCAUUUCUCUCUCUCUCUGUAACCUGUAUAAUUCAAAUAUAUAUUUGUUUGGUUAUUUGUAAAGGUACUCCCAAACUCCAAAAUGCAUAGACAUGAAAGAACUAAGAUGUGAAAAUAUUACAUGUAUAAGUAAAAUAUUCAACCUUUUACACAAGUCGCAAUUAAUCAGUUAAUAUAUAUAUGCAUUUGGUUGUGGCACAAUUUACCCAAAUCCGCAUAAAUCAAAUGCGAUUUCCAAGAAAAUUUUGAAAUUGUAAGCAAAUCCAUCAUUAUUCUAACUCAUAUCACAAUAAUUUAUAUCGAUAUUUGAUAAUAUACAGCUCUUUAUGCUAAAUUGUCAUUUUGAAAUUAAAAUCGUAACGGUCUUGUAGUAGUAGUUAGUUGUAUUUUACGUCCGCUUCCACCGAGGUGAUAUCGUAGACAAUAACAUGUUAUGUAUACAAGGUGCAAUAAUUUACAAUGUGAUUAGUGAGAAAAAUAGGAUAAUUAGGUUUUUCAUAUAUAUGUACAUAGGACAAUAGACAACAGUAGGAUAACAUGUGCAAAGGACGAUAAAAGUGCCAGUAGAGGUUCACAGACAUACGAAUUGACGGAACAGACAUGGACAAUGAUGGACAUUUUCACAGACAUGAACAUGUUAUGUACAUAUAUAUAUUUAUUGGGUCGUUUGGGUUGGUCUGGUCGUUCUGUUCGGUAGAAUGGCAGGGCGGUGCAACUCUUCCUUGGGGCUUUGUUGGUGAGUCUGAGUCCUGGUCCAUUCUUCCUUCCAUUUGGGUUUGUUGUCCGGUAUGGUGGCGUUGUUACAUCUUUAUUUCUGUUAUUCAUUCCUUUUAUUGUUGGUUCUCUGAAGGAAGAAUCCAGCACCUGAAAAAGAAAGCUAGAGAAAAGAGAGUAUCUGGUCUUACUGCGGUUUUGUGGUUAUUUCGUCUAGUAAGGCUUCGGGAGGGGGGGGGGGGGGCGGGGAUCAUUAUAAACUAAUAAUAAGAAUAAUAAGUGGAAUAAAAGAAAAUAGAUUGUUAAAUGAAUUGCAGAUAAAUAAUAAGAAUAAUAAGUUACUCAUGAAUUAUAUUAGUGGUAAAUUAAUGGUAAAUAUAUUGUUGCUUGACAUAGAUUUAAAAGAUACUGGUUGAUUCUUGAUUUAUUAAUUUUAUCGGAGGUUUAUUGGUAGUGUAGGGCGGUUUACGCUUCCUUCUAGAGGCCAUUUUUAUGUUCCGUCCUACUGUUAAUUUAGUAAUUUUAUUAAUUGAUUUAUUAAUUUUAUCUGAGGUUUAUUAGUGGUGUAGGGCGGUUUACGCUUCCUUCUAGAGGACAUUUUUACGUUCCACCCAACUGUUAAUUGAUUAAUUUUAUUAAUUAGUUUAUUAAUUUUAUCGGAGUUUUGUUAGUAGUGUAGAGCGGUUUACGCUUCCUUCUAGAGGACAUUUUUACGUUCCACCCAACUGUUAAUUGAUUAAUUUUAUUAGGGUUUCACACUGCGUAGCCACUAUUGUUUUUGUUCGGAUUAUUAUUCUUCUUAUUAUUAUUAUUAUUAUUUUUCCAUUUGAGCAUAUCUCAGAAACUACUUGUCGGAUCGAUUCGAUGUCUUCGGUUUUACUGGGAAAGUGGGUUUGACUUAAAUUUUAAAGCUUUUUCCAACGUUCUGCGACAAUGCGAAAUGUCCGAAAUCACCGAAGUUGUCGUUUUUCGAUAUUUUGCCGUAAUGUUAUCAAUUAUUGUCGGAUUGUAAUAUUUGAUACAUUUUGACAUAGCCAGAGACAAGGGACAUAGCUACAGUUUUUUGGAUUUUUUAUUUUCGACGAAUCUUAGGGGAUAUUAGGUGCCAAAUUUUGAAAAUUUAAAUUUUUACAAAAAACUUCUUUAUUAAUGAAUAUUUUUAUGUGGUAAUUUACUUAGGGUUAAAGAGUUAUCUGAUUUGACCAAAAAUGGCAACAUUUUUUGUCACCGUAUUUUUCCUUGGCCCCCAUUGGCUAAUUCAGUUUUUCAGUCCUGGAUUAAUUAUUUAUUGUUCGAUUUGUAUAAAACAAAGUUCAUAUGCUCCGUGGUCCAAAAUGUCAUUUUUUUUUGUUACCGGUACAUUUUCCUUUCGAUAGCGGAAGUGACGUAAAUUUAGCAAAAACUGCAAAUUUGAGAGUUCGGUACCACUUUUUGAAAGCAAAUAUUAUUUUUUUCAAAUCUGGUAUGACUGAAAGGGUGUGCCCUGUUAAGGCGUAAAAAUCAUCGCGCUCAGUUUUUUUAAUUUUUAUUUCGUUUUCGGAUCAUUUCGAUUUAAAGGCGAAAAAAGGUGAAAAAAUGAGCUAUUCAAAACCCAUUCAGGCUUUUCAUAUUUUAAUAUAUUUUUUCGAAACUUUCAUAAACUAGUAGCAAUAAUCCAUACGAAGAGAAUGUAUGUGAAAAUUAGUUUGUAAUAUGAGAAGUUGCCGAGAAAUGGGCAAUUUUGCAUGAGUCACACUUUACGCUAGUUUGCCUGUGAAAGAGUCAAUUAUUAUUCGAUUUUCAAAAAAAUGACACCAUUUGAUGCGUUAUGUCAAUUUUAACAAGGUCAAACCAAUUUAACAUUUCCAAUGUUACCGGAAAUGACGUAAUUUGGGCAAAAAUUGUAUUUAUAGCCUUCAAAACCAGUAUUUUAUUCAAAUGAGUCGUAUUUGUUAUGUGUUUAAAAUUUUGAUAUUUGAUCCCAAUCAACCAAUAGAAUGAACCCAUACAAUCAUAUAGGUAUCACAAAAUGGUUUCUAACUUGUUCAGUUGCGAAGAAAUAGACGAUUUUCAACAGGUAACUUUUCAAGGUUUUUGGUCCAUAAACGUGUUAAUUAUUAUUCGAUUUUCAUAAAAUGUUCACCGUGUGGUACCUAAUGCCAUUUACGAUUUCAUACAAGUAAUUUAACACUUUUACUGUCACCGGAAGUAUGUCAUUUUGGCAAAAACUGUAUUUUUAGCCUUCAAAACAGAUAUUUUAUUCAAAUGAGUCUAAUUUGUAAUGUUUUUAAAGUUAUGAUAUUUGAUUCCAAUCAACAAAUAGAUUCAACCCACACGAUCAUACAGAUACCAAAAAAUGGUUUCUAACUUGUACGGUUGUAGAGAAAUAGACGAUUUUCUACAAGUCCCUUUUCAAGGUUUUCGGUCUAUAAAAGUGGCAAUUAUUAUUCGAUUUACAUAAAAUGUUCUCCACGUGAUGCCUUAUGCCAUUUCUGAUUUCAUAAAACUAAUUUAACAUUUUCAUUAUAACCGGAAGUAAUGUAAUUUUGUCAGUAUCACUUACAUGUAACAAAAUGUAUACAAUGAAUUGAUAUUGCUGGAUUUGGUUGAUUCUGCGUACAUUUUAUUUGAUGUGUGCAAUGCUUAUAUGGAAACCUGUUUAAUGGUUUCAUCGGUACCGGAAGUGACAUAUGUUCAAGGGUAACGGGGCACCGGUGAAGCCCGUCAUUACUGCGUCGCAGUUUUAGUUAUUUUAUGUAUUUGGUCAUGCCUGUAUUUAUUAGUAGUGUAGGGCGGUUUACGCUUCCUUCUAGAGGAUAUUUUUACGUUCCGCCCUACUGUUUGAUUAAUUUUAUUAUUUUAUAUAUUUGGUCAUCCCUAUAUUCUCAAUAAAAUCCCAGAGAAGUUAGAAUGUCCAGUAUCUAUCGUCAGGUCGUGGAGAAAGGAGAGAUUUGAGACAGAGAGUUUUUCCCCUCUCUGCUAGAUUCUUAAUUACGGAUUGACGUUCUUUAUUUAAUUGAUUACAGUUGAUUAGCAGGUGUGACGUGGUCGCAAUUUGUCCACAUGGGCAUUUAAUUGGUGUAUAGGUGAAGUCUUUUAUUACGUUUAUCGUUUUAAGCCUCGUGAUGAGUUUGCAUAUUUUGAUUGAUGUAAACCUUGUCUACAAGAUUGCUAUCAAUUUGAUAGCGAUGAGUAUUCUCUUGUUUUAGACGGGUCUUCCAUGCAUUUUUAAUUUUAUCUUUAGCUAUGCUUGUGAAUUCCUGACUGCUGUAUUCUAAAUUUUCUAUAUCAUUUAAUGACAACCCUUCCUUGGCUAGCUUGUCAGCCUGUUCAUUGCCGAAGAUAUUGAUGUGGGAGGGGAUCCAUGCAAGGACUACCUCUCUUCCGUUGUUUUUGAUUGUUUGAUUAAUAUCCCUAAUUUGGUGGAUUAUGCCCUGUCUGCUUUUGGAAUAGUCUAUUCGAUGGAUUUGAUGCUACUUAGGGAGUCUGACAAGAUAACGGCUUUUUGGUGUGUUUGGGUGGCUAGCCAUUCUAUUGCAGUUUUAAUGGCCAUCAAUUCUGCGGUGUACACAGAACAAUGUUCUGGUAUCCUUUUCCUGAUGUUUAGCUUUGCUUUGGGUUUGAAAAUGCCGUACCCUGUUAAUCCCUGUGUAUUAUUUUUCGACCCAUCUGUAUAGAUUUUGAGAUAGUCUGUCCAUUUGGUGUCUAUUAGUUCUAAUGUUAGUGCUCUAGCCUCUAUAAGCGUGUUUGUUUGUAACGUUAAUUAGGUGCGUGUUGAUGUGUCAAAAUUCCCCCUAAAUACGCAAUUUCCCAGUAAGUUUGGAAGUUGUAACCAAGGGACAUAACUUGUGUAUUUCACGAAAUCACUUGCUUGUUUGUAAAUUGCAUUUUGCGGUACAGUUUUGAAACAAAUUUUACGAUUUUAAAUUGAAAAUGUCAAUUUGACAUAAAGAAGGGUAUAUUAUCAAAUACAUGUAGAUAUAAAAUAUUAUAAUCAGAGUUGAAAUAAUGUUGGAUUUGGGUACCGGUACAUGUGAAUUUGGGUAAAUAUGUGCUAUCGUGCAUUUGGCACAUAUGGCUGUCAUUGAGCAAUGAAAUGUAAAACCUGUGCUAAAAAUAAGAUGAAAAAAAUUAUUCAUGUAAUGGUGUAUUUGUAAUUAAAUCUAAUAUUUGUUCA